UAGUAAUCGUUCUAAGAGUAGAAGCAAAUACUAAGAAAACCGUAGUACCUAGAACUUACUUCGUUAAAGCAUACGAAACAAAAUUAUUGAGUGUAACACUUUACGACAAAUAUAUUAAGUUACCGUAUAAAGCAAAAUAGCCUAAUGGCCUUACACUAAUCGCCACCGCUUUUGGCCCAGCCACCGCCGCUGCCCACAGACACUUGCACCAUAUUGCUAAUCCGACAAGUUUGUGGACCCCCUAGCGAUACUACGACAUAAAAGUUAACGCGUUUUAUGAAUAAAGGUAA